AUAUUAUCAAGAGUGAGCCGAGGGUUCUGGCCCAAUGACGCUCCGACAACCUUUCGAUAAACUCAAGGCAAGCCUGCACUGAGCGAAGUCGAAGUGGUGUCAAAUCCAGCCUGUCCGCCAUCCGUCAAUUGACGGAGGCGGAGGGAAAGAUGGUGU
rnacentral:ncRNA from 2 species